rnacentral:rRNA from 1 species
AUGGCUCAGGAUGAACGCUAGCGGCAGGCUAACACAUGCAAGUCGAGGGGUAACAGGGCGUAGCAAUACGCCGCUGACGACCGGCGCACGGGUGCGUAACGCGUAUACAACCUACCUGUAACAGGGGGAUAACGGAGUGAAAACUCCACUAAUACCCCAUAUUGACGAGUCUUCGCAUGGGGGUUCGUCGAAAGCUUCGGUGGUUACGGAUGGGUAUGCGUGACAUUAGGUAGUUGGCGGGGCAACGGCCCACCAAGCCGACGAUGUCUAGGGGAGCUGAGAGGCUAGUCCCCCACACUGGUACUGAGACACGGACCAGACUCCUACGGGAGGCAGCAGUGAGGAAUAUUGGUCAAUGGACGGAGGUCUGAACCAGCCAUGCCGCGUGAGGGAAGAAGGUCCUAUGGGUUGUAAACCUCUUUUGCUCCGGAGCAAUAAGGCGGAUGCGUCCGCCGACGAGAGUACGGGGCGAAUAAGCAUCGGCUAACUCCGUGCCAGCCGCGGC